rnacentral:rRNA from 1 species
GACGUGAGUGGCGAGCGUUAUCCGGAAUUACUGGGCGUAAAGCGCGCGUAGGCGGUUAUGUAAGUCAGGGGUGAAAAGUCAGGGCUUAACCUUGGCCUUGCCUUUGAAACUACAUGACUAGAGUACUGGAUAGGAGGGCGGAACUACAAGUGUAGCGGUGGAAUGCGUAGAUAUUUGUAGGAAUGCCGAUGACGAAGGUAGCUCUCUGGACAGAUACUGACGCUGAGGUGCGAAAGCUAGGGGAG